rnacentral:rRNA from 1 species
CCUACGGGCGGCAUCAGUGGGGAAUAUUGGACAAUGGGCGAAAGCCUGAUCCAGCCAUGCCGCGUGUGUGAAGAAGGCCUUCGGGUUGUAAAGCACUUUCAGUGGGGAAGAAAGCCUUGGGGCUAAUACCCUCGAGGAAGGACAUCACCCACAGAAGAAGCACCGGCUAACUCCGUGCCAGCAGCCGCGGUAAUACGGAGGGUGCGAGCGUUAAUCGGAAUUACUGGGCGUAAAGCGCGCGUAGGCGGUCUGAUAAGCCGGUUGUGAAAGCCCCGGGCUCAACCUGGGAACGGCAUCCGGAACUGUCAGGCUAGAGUGCAGGAGAGGAAGGUAGAAUUCCCGGUGUAGCGGUGAAAUGCGUAGAGAUCGGGAGGAAUACCAGUGGCGAAGGCGGCCUUCUGGACUGACACUGACGCUGAGGUGCGAAAGCGUGGGUAGCAAACAGGAUUAGAUACCCUAGUAGUC